rnacentral:lncRNA from 1 species
GGCAACUUUAUCUCAAGACAGCUCCCCUUUCAAUCCUUGUCAUACGACAUGGUUCACCGCACUCAGUGUGGCAUUGUCUGGGAUAACAAAGUUAAAAUCCUCAUUAUGGUUUAGGAUUUUGUUUUCCCCUCUAAAUCACCAUUUGUUUGUCAGAUUGAGUGCAGUGGCUUUUAUUGAUUUUUCAUCAAGAAAAAUACUUCAAAUUACUUGGACAGUUAGCCUCUUAUGUAUUGGUUAACUAGUCUGUGUUUUUUUGUUACUUUUUGUGUGCAUUUUUUAUUUUUAUUUUUUGUUUAUCAGAUUUUGUUUGAUGCUAUAGCUAUCUGUGAUUAAUUUUGCAAUGAAUAUUAGGCUUACUGUGAGGAAGGCCAAGAAGGAAAAGAAAGUGAAGGAUCCACACAAGCCAAGGACGCCUCCCUAGUGCUUUUUUGUUUUCAUGUAUGCCCCAUUUGCAUUUUUGGUGUCUCUACCUUUUCUGUAUAUUUUUCUAGACUGAUUUUAUGCCGUUUAGCAAAAGGUUAAUUCGACCAUUAAUCUGUUCAUGUCGUUUGUGUUUUCAGGGAAGGGUUUAGGAAAUAGUACAAGGAAAAAUAUCCAAACAACAAAUCAAUUGUUGUGAGUUCGUCGUUCUUUUUUAAUUUUCUUUGAAGCUUAAAUGAUUAGUGCAGGCAAUUUGCACUUGGAGUAUUCACGAUAAUUUUCUUUAUAAUUUCAGGUUUUCCUUUUGGGAAUAAAUAAUAAUAUAUAUUGGAAAAGCUAGAGGAGAUAAGUGAAGUUCAUGAGUGAUGAGGUAACUCUAUGCAAUCCAAGAUAUUGUUUAUAUCUAAUUCUUCUUCUAGAGAAAUUUCCUAACGUCAUGAUAAAAAUAAAGAAAAAAUUCCUUCUGUGCAAAAGGCAGAGAAACAAGAGUAGGAAUAUGAGCAUAAAUGGUAGACUACAAUAAGAAUUUGGUAAUCCAUCUAUGAGAAGCAUAGUGUUAUAUAGUGUUUAUUUUUUACUGCAAUACUGAAAUGAUUUGCCAUACUAUUUUUAUAGGCUUGAGGUGCUGAUGAUGAGUCUGACAAGUCAAAGUCUGAGAUUAAUGGUGAUGAGGACGAUGAGAGCAGUGGAGACGUUAGUUGGGAUUAAGCUAUACAACUUUUUUGUACUUAAAACUUGGAAACUAUGUUGACUUAUUAUUUUGUUUUAAUUAAUGUAGGAGGAAGACAAUGAGUAAGCGCUAUCACAUAAAACUGGAUUUUGGAUUCAAGGUGAGAGCUAACAAACAAUCUUCCUUCAUUAAUUUGUGUUUGGGCUAUUUUGUAAAAUGCUUGAAUUCAAAGUGAUUUAAUUGAAUUGGUAAAUUAGGAUUUCAUGAAGAAUUAUCCUGUAAAAAUUGGGCUUUAUGUAAAUUUUAUUGAAAGUAAUUAUAGUUAAUACGAUUUUCCUCCUUUUUCUUCUGUUGUGAAAGUUGCUAAGGUGUUAGUUUUUCUUUUUCACCAAGGGGACAAGCGUCUCUUCCCUUCCAUUAACUCGAGCAAAAAAGAGAGGAAACAUAUGCCCUGAUUUUCCCUUUUGGUAACGAAUACCGGGGAAUUCCCCUUUUUCGCCUUCUCCUGCCUCUUACUAUGCUUGAUAUACAUACUUAUUUUGAAAGAACGGGUGAAGGAAGAGGAGGUUGGGUGUUUUUUGACCCAUGAUAAAUAUUUAAUGUGUUACAGCAAGCAGCUCAUAUAUUUUUAAAUCAUUAAAGCUCAUUCCUGUUAAAAAUGUUAGAGAGAAAAACAUUAAUUUAUUCAUAUCUUCAAAACACCUCUUAUGGUACAUGUAGAUUUAAUUUUUCUAUAGAAUGACAUGUAUAAUUUUGACGAGGAUGAUAUUAUUGUUCUGCGGAUUUCCAUCUGGUUGUACAUUACCAAUACAGGUCUAGGCUUAGAGUUCGAUUAGAGACUCGGAGCUCAGUUAUCUACUAGGUCGAGAAAAUUGUUGAUCAGGUCAAUCGCUCUAAGCUUGUGGUUGACUACUUACGUGGCCCAUUUUGUUUAUAUUUCGUUGCAAGCUCCAAUUCAUACAUAGUUUUUGUUAUUGCAGGAGUUAAGAGGAAGAGGACAAACCAAACGAUCAAGGAUUUAGCAAUGCAUUUUUGAAGUGAAGUCCAGGAAACUAUAUUAGUUAAGUGAAGCCAGCAUUCUGCUAAAGCGAACAAAAAGAUUAUGACGAUUGAGGAUGAUCAAAGUCACAUUUCACUUAUUAUCCUUCGUUCCCAUCUCUUUUUGAGUAAUGAUCAUUUUUAGUAUCUUGUGGCUGCCCAACAUUUCAAACAUUCCAAAAACAUUGUAGAUGUAAAUUCUACAUUAUGCGAGGAAUUUCCCUUUUCUUUUCUUUCCUUUUCGAAAUGGAGAAUCAAGUAAGCUGUCAUUUCCAUUUGCAAUAGUGUAGGCUCUUACUGUGAUGUGCUGUUGCACAUGUUCACGUAUGUGUGCACAUAUUUACGUAUAUAUAUGUUUGUGCUAGACGUAUGAUACCAAAAAAAAAAAAUAAUGUUAUUUGUAAGCAGUGCUUACCUAUCAUAGGUAGAAGUAAGAUAAUUGUCACAUUUUCCUAUAAAUUUGGAGUGAUGAUAUUUGUAAACAGUGCACUACAAACAACCUAUGCUUACCUAGUUGCUGUUAGCAUAUGCUGUAGUAAAAUCCCCAAACAUUUCUUUUUCUUCUUA